AACUAUCAUCCGGGGAAGCACAGAUCAAGCAUAAAUGCAGGGGACCUUCACUAAAAGAGCCUAGCCAUAAAGAAAUGAGCCUAAGCACAGAUAAACCAGGAACUAACGAGCUAGGUAUAGCAACCCACUUCGGUCUAAGGAAUGAAGAACCAUGGAGAUGUCGGACAAGCCAGGAAUAGGUAUGGCAGAGCUUGGCUUCUCUAUAGCAUGAAGCCUAAGAAGGAAUCAAAAACCACUCAGUCCACACCCUUUAAGGAUAUUAGCCAAAGAAAAUACUCAUAGAGAGAAACACUAAAGCUGAGCAGAUCUUCUUGAAAACUCUCAAAUAGAAGCACCAAAUAUGCAACCCACUACAGCCAGCACACAAAAAAA
rnacentral:misc_RNA from 1 species